rnacentral:misc_RNA from 1 species
GCCGGAGGUUGGGCCCUAUCCCCGGGCGUGUACAAAGGCCGUAUUGCAGCUGUGGGGGCCACGUCGGACGCACGGAAGGUGUGGGGGAGGAUAUGGGGACUACGAGCCGGCGUUCACGGGACAGAAGGGUGGUGAGUGAGAGGCGCAGGUGGAGGGUGGAAGGUGGCGUGUCAAAGAGAGUGGAGUUGGAGAGUGGAGUUGGAGAGUGGAGUUGGAGAGUGGAGUUCGAGAGUGGAGUCGAGUUAGAGAGUAGAGAGUUGGGGAGUGGAGAGUAGGAUGUGUUGAGGAGACGUUUGCGUCAGCAUUUUUGUGGACGUUGUGUAGACUUUCUGUGCACGAUCGUGUUGACAUUUUUGUGGAUGCUCAACAUUUUUGUGGGCAUUCUGCGGACGUUUGGAUCUUUGAUGUCAAGUGUCCAUCUUAUCUGGUGGAAUACUGUCUAGAAUCCUAGUCUGCCAUAAUCGGCUCCUAAUAGUCGAUUGUACCUGGAGGAUCGCCAUUGUUGCUGUAUGGAGAUGGUUGGUGCCACAGUAUCCAACACUUUUGGCACAAUACGGCAGAAUGAAGACCCUUGGCGCCCAUCAAGCCCCCUUGGAACAAUGGAGAGACCCUUGCCAACACUGGGACCGUUGUCAGACCGAGACAGAGUAUCAAGUGGGACCAACAUGAUGGUGAGCUCAGAUCAUGUUGGUGAGUUCUGAUCAUGUUGGUGAGUUCUGAUCACGUUGGUGAGUUCAGAUCAUGUUGGUGAGUUCAGAUCAUGUUCAACAUGUUGUAGAUGGAUGUCCAUUCUUCUAUAAAACUCCAUCGGUCGGUGAAUAUGUACAGUACGAUACUGUAUCCGGGUCCGAAAAAGUUGACCAGAUCAAAGUCUUUCUUUAUGAUGAUUGAGUGGAGACGGAGACGUCAGACUAAAGUGUCAACUUUCGGUACUGUACAGUGGCAUAUUGUCGAUAUUGAAAGUGGCAUACUGUCGAUACUAGUAGUGGCAUACAGUCGACGUGGUUCCAUACUGCUGACGUUAGACCCUCUUGAUGUCGUUUCACCUCAUCAUCAUUCACCGACUCGUGUGGACCUUACUAAGCGUCUCCAAAUACAACUCUCCAACAUGGUCGAAUUGCUUCCAAUCACAAGUUUUUAGUGCGCCUCGCUGCAUCACGCAAUCCCGCUCCAUUUCGUCCUUUGAAGGCUCAGUACAGUCUGCGUCCUGUAGCCAAUCGCGCCUUGUAAAUGUGUCUCACACCCUGCAAAACAGACACCCGUAAAAGUGAGACUGGAGAAACUUUUGUGGCAGGCGGUGAUUCUAAAGAAACGCUGUCGAAUAUGACUCAUUAGUGUCGGAGAUUUCAUUCUUCAGACUCAGUCUCACUUUUUUGUCACAGUACGGCGUUUGUUGACAACCAUCGGCAAAACGCCGUGCAUUGAUGCAGGGCUGUUGGACUCUGGAACAGCGCCAUGGGUCCACAAAAGGGCGUAAUUGACGUCAAUUCCGUAUAGAGACACUUGCCACAAGUUUACACAUUGGUUAAUCAACAGUUGCUAACCUUCCACCAACCAUCCAUCAACUUUCCUCCAACUCUUGUGGGCCGAGAAAGCUCUGCCGUCGCCAUGGUACUCCAAAUUCCAACCCACGGCCUCAAAAGACGGCAAACAAUGACAUACCCCGUAUUCACCGCGUCCUCAUAUCCCGCGCAUCGCCUUCGCAUUUCAUUACCCACCGAGAAUUGCUUUUUCCUCAAGCAGCACGCUCUUUGCAGACAGAUGCAGCCACCUGUCAAACUGUUUUAGAUGGUUUCACCCUCAUUGUCGGACGUGGCCCAGACCAAACUAGACCAGUAGGUACUUGCGGGGGUAUAUAUGAUUUCUGAGAGGUUUUUCGACUCCA